UUAUGGCUCAGGAUGAACGCUAGCUACAGGCUUAACACAUGCAAGUCGAGGGGCAGCACGGUGUAGCAAUACACUGGUGGCGACCGGCGUACGGGUGCGUAACACGUAUGCAACCUACCCGCUAUUGGGGGAUAACCCGGCGAAAGUCGGACUAAUAUCCCAUAUUAUUCUUACCGGGCAUCCGGUGAGUCUGAAAGAUUUAUCGAUUGCGGAUGGGCAUGCGGAUGAUUAGCUAGUAGGUGGGGUAACGGCUCACCUAGGCGACGAUCAUUAGGGGUUCUGAGAGGAAGGUCCCCCCGCACUGGAACUGAGACACGGUCCAGACUCCUACGGGAGGCAGCAGUGAGGAAUAUUGGUCAAUGGGCGCUAGCCUGAACCAGCCAAGUCGCGUGAAGGAUGACAAGAUCUAUGGUUUGUAAACUUCUUUUGCAGGGGAGUAAAGUGCGACACGUGUGUUGUAUUGCAAGUACCCUGCGAAUAAGCAUCGGCUAACUCCGUGCCAGCCGCAGC
rnacentral:rRNA from 1 species